rnacentral:misc_RNA from 1 species
UCUGAGCUUUUUGUUUUGAAUCUCAUGAUGAUUUUUGUGGGUUGAGGAGGAAUGAUUUUAAAUGAACUAUGAUAAAAGCACCAGGUUGCUGCAGGUGAACUUUAGUACAUAUUUGAUGAGACUAUUGGAAUAAAAAAAAAAAAAGCAUGAAUGAUGAACUGAAAUAUAUUUCAUUAAAUUUUAUUGCAAUUUGUCACUAUUUAUCUAACAUGCAUUUUGUGGCUGUUGGAGUUUUUGUUAAAGAAAUAAAUAUUUAGAAAUUAGAAUAAUUCCUUCUACUGUGCCAAGCAGAUCUUUGAUGGAGUAAUUUUUAAACACCAGGUGCACUGUGCAUUAUGCAUUACUCGCAUGCUUCUAUUCGUUGGUCCUGUAGAUGGAGUAAUUGAUGUCACUUACAUGUGACUGGUCCAUCAUAAUGUG